UACAGGGGGUGCAAACGUUGCUCGGAAUCAUUGGGCGUAAAGCGCACGUAGGCGGUUCGUUAUGUCGGAUGUGAAAGCCCUUGGCUUAACCGAGGAAGUGCAUCCGAAACUGGCGAGCUAGAGUACGAAAGAGGAUCGCGGAAUUCCCGGUGUAGAGGUGAAAUUCGUAGAUAUCGGGAGGAACACCGGUGGCGAAGGCGCCGAUCUGGGUCGAUACUGACGCUGAGGUGCGAAAGCGUGGGGAGCAAACAGG
rnacentral:rRNA from 1 species